CAGCCGCCGCGGGAAUACGAGGGGGGCAAGCGUUGUUCGGAAUUAUUGGGCGUAAAGGGUGCGUAGGCGGUUUGGCAAGUUUGGUGUGAAAUCUUCGGGCUCAACUCGAAGUCUGCAUCGAAAACUGCCGGGCUUGAGUAUGGGAGAGGUGAGUGGAAUUUCCGGUGUAGCGGUGAAAUUCGUAGAUAUUCGGAAGAACACCAGUGGCGAAGGCGACUGACUGGACAAGUAUUGACGCUGAGGUGCGAAAGCGUGGGGAGCAAACAGGAUUAGAUACCCCAGUAGUCCCUGUCUCUUAUAA
rnacentral:rRNA from 1 species